rnacentral:rRNA from 1 species
UACGUAGGGGGCAAGCGUUGUCCGGAUUUAUUGGGCGUAAAGGGCGCGUAGGCGGCCACGCACGUCCGUUGUGAAAUCGCUCGGCUCAACUGGGCGGGGUCAGCGGAUACGGCGUGGCUAGAGCAAGCUAGGGGGCAAUGGAAUUCCCGGUGUAGUGGUGGAAUGCGUAGAUAUCGGGAGGAACACCGGUGGCGAAGGCGGUUCUCUGGGCCUUACCUGACGCUGAAGAGCGAAAGCGUGGGGAGCGAACAGG